rnacentral:rRNA from 1 species
GAUGAACGCUAGCGGCAGGCUUAAUACAUGCAAGUCGAGGGGCAGCAGGACUGUAGCAAUACAGUUGCUGGCGACCGGCAAACGGGUGCGGAACACGUACGCAACCUUCCUUUAAGUGAGGGAUAGCCCAGGGAAACUUGGAUUAAUACCUCGUAAUAUUUGAGAGUGGCAUCACUUUUUAAUUAUAGCUCCGGCGCUUAAAGAUGGGCGUGCGACUGAUUAGGUAGUUGGCGGGGUAACGGCCCACCAAGCCUGCGAUCAGUAACUGGUGUGAGAGCACGACCAGUCACACGGGCACUGAGACACGGGCCCGACUCCUACGGGAGGCAGCAGUAAGGAAUAUUGGUCAAUGGACGCAAGUCUGAACCAGCCAUGCCGCGUGGAGGAUGAAGGUCCUCUGGAUUGUAAACUUCUUUUAUCUGGGAAGAAACCCAUAUUUUCUAAUGUGGUUGACGGUACCAGAUGAAUAAGCACCGGCUAACUCCGUGCCAGCAGCCGCCGUAACAC